CUUACACAUGCAGUCGAGCGGGGAAGGUAGCUUGCUACUGGACCUAGCGGCGGACGGGUGAGUAAUGCUUAGGAAUCUGCCUAUUAGUGGGGGACAACAUUCCGAAAGGAAUGCUAAUACCGCAUACGCCCUACGGGGGAAAGCAGGGGAUCUUCGGACCUUGCGCUAAUAGAUGAGCCUAAGUCGGAUUAGCUAGUUGGUGGGGUAAAGGCCUACCAAGGCGACGAUCUGUAGCGGGUCUGAGAGGAUGAUCCGCCACACUGGGACUGAGACACGGCCCAGACUCCUACGGGAGGCAGCAGUGGGGAAUAUUGGACAAUGGGCGGAAGCCUGAUCCAGCCAUGCCGCGUGUGUGAAGAAGGCCUUUUGGUUGUAAAGCACUUUAAGCGAGGAGGAGGCUCCUUUAGUUAAUACCUAAAGUGAGUGGACGUUACUCGCAGAAUAAGCACCGGCUAACUCUGUGCCAGCAGCCGCGGUAAUACAGAGGGUGCGAGCGUUAAUCGGAUUUACUGGGCGUAAAGCGUGCGUAGGCGGCUUUUUAAGUCGGAUGUGAAAUCCCUGAGCUUAACUUAGGAAUUGCAUUCGAUACUGGAAAGCUAGAGUACGGGAGAGGAUGGUAGAAUUCCAGGUGUAGCGGUGAAAUGCGUAGAGAUCUGGAGGAAUACCGAUGGCGAAAGCAGCCAUCUGGCCUAAUACUGACGCUGAGGUACGAAAGCAUGGGGAGCAAACAGGAUUAGAUACCCUGGUAGUCCAUGCCGUAAACGAUGUCUACUAGCCGUUGGGGCCUUUGAGCUUUAGUGCGCAGCUAACGCGAUAGUAGACCGGCCUGGGGAGUACGGUCGCAAGACUAAAACUCAAUGAAUUGACGGG
rnacentral:rRNA from 1 species